GGGCCCGCACAAGCGGUGGAGCAUGUGGUUUAAUUCGAUGCAACGCGAAGAACCUUACCAGGUCUUGACAUCCCACGAAUCUCUCUGAAAGGAGAGAGUGCCUUCGGGAGCGUGGAGACAGGUGGUGCAUGGUUGUCGUCAGCUCGUGUCGUGAGAUGUUGGGUUAAGUCCCGCAACGAGCGCAACCCUUGCUAUUAGUUGCUAACAGGUUAAGCUGAGCACUCUAAUGGGACUGCCGGUGACAAGCCGGAGGAAGGUGGGGAUGACGUCAAAUCAUCAUGCCCUUUAUGACCUGGGCUACACACGUGCUACAAUGGAUGGUACAGAGAGCAGCGAGGCCGCGAGGUGGAGCGAAUCUCAAAAAGCCAUUCUCAGUUCGGAUUGGAGUCUGCAACUCGACUCCAUGAAGUCGGAAUCGCUAGUAAUCGCGAAUCAGCAUGUCGCGGUGAAUGCGUUCCCGGGCCUU
rnacentral:rRNA from 1 species